UGGGGAAUAUUGCACAAUGGGGGAAAGCCUGAUGCAGCGACGCCGCGUGAGUGAAGAAGGAUUUCGGUAUGUAAAGCUCUAUCAGCAGGGAAGAAAAUGACGGUACCU
rnacentral:rRNA from 1 species